AGGACGAACGCUUGCGGCGUGCCUAAGAAAUGCAAGUCGAGCGGAAGUAGCAAUACUUUAGCGGCGAACGGUCGCGUAACACGUAGCCAACCUGCCCAGAAGACCGGGACAACACUCCGAAAGGGGUGCUAAUACCGGAUGUGCCCAUUUUGCCACAUGGCUUAAUGAGUAAAUCAUUUAUGGCUUCUGGAGGGGCUGCGGCCUAUCAGCUAGAUGGUGGGGUAAUGGCCUACCAUGGCGUCGACGGGUAGCUGGUCUGAGAGGAUGGUCAGCCGGACUGGGACUGAGAUACGGCCCAGACUCCUACGGGGGCAGCAAUUAGGAAUCUUGCGCAAUGGGGGCAACCCUGACGCAGUCGACGCCGCGUGGAGGAUGACGGCCUUCGGGUUGUAAACUCCUUUUAUCGGGGAAGAACAAAUGACGGUACCCGAUGAAUAAGCCCGGCUAACUCCGUGCCAGCAGCCGC
rnacentral:rRNA from 1 species